rnacentral:tRNA from 1 species
CAUCAGAUGACUGAAAGUAAGUGAUGGUCUCUUAAACCAUUUUAUAGUAAGUAACGUUUACUUUUGAUGA